AACGAACGCUGGCGGCGUACCUAACACAUGCAAGUCGAACGAGAAAUUCCGAUUCGUCGGGAGAGUAAAGUGGCGAACGGGUGAGUAACACUAGGGUCAUCUCCCCUUGAAUAAGGGAUAACAUUGCGAAAGCGAUGCUAAUACCUUAUAAGACUACGAUCUCUUAGGAGAUAGUAGGAAAAGAUGGCCUCUGUUUCAUGCUAUCGUUUAAGGAUGAGCCCUAGCACUAUUAGCUAGUUGGUGAGGUAAUGGCUCACCAAGGCGACGAUGGUUAGCUGGUCUGAGAGGAUGAUCAGCCACACUGGAACUGAGACACGGUCCAGACUCCUACGGGAGGCAGCAGUGAGGAAUAUUGCGCAAUGGGGGCAACCCUGACGCAGUGACGCCGCGUGAGUGAUGAAGGCUUUCGAGUUGUAAAGCUCUGUUAGGUGGAAAGAAACACUCCAGCGCUAAUACCGCUGGGGCUUGACAGUACCACCAGAGGAAGCACCGGCUAACUCCGUGCCAGCCGCCGCCGUAAAAC
rnacentral:rRNA from 1 species